rnacentral:lncRNA from 1 species
GUCCACUGGAGCAUGGAUUCUUGAGGAGGGAAGACGUGUCCCAUGGCCUUUUGUGGUGGUCCCUAAUUGAGAAGUCUGUGUCUGCGAACCUCAAACCUGUGGAGGGUUCUCGACAAUGUGGGAAAUCGUGAGACCACCAGGCAACUUCCGUUAACAGACCAAGUUUCAGCAGGAAUGGGGAUUUUAUGUUGGCAGAAGGUGAAGAAGAUAUAUGAGGUCCCAUAUGCACGAAGUGGCAAAACAGUUUUUGAAAGUUCCAUCCAAACAAACUCAUCACUUGUUGGGGAUUCCUUUGUGGAUUUCUCUUUUGAGAAGAGCCAGAAAACCACUUACAUAAUGACUUCUCCAACUGAGCAGGUGAUGGAAGGAAGAGCAAGUGGUGUGGAGGACUGGCUGCAGGCGUCAUCAGCACUGCUUUUACCCCUUUGCCCACUGUUGGUUUGGGAGAGGCAGGACCAGUCAAAGACCUAUGCUUACUUAUCUCCUCAAAAAUAAGAAUUUGGGGUUCCCAUCAUGGCUCAGUGGUAACAAACCUGAUUAGUAUUCAUGAGGACUCGAGUUUGAUCCCUGGCCUUGCUCAGUGGGUUAAGUAUCUGGUGUUGCUGUGAGCUGUGGUCUAAGUUGCAGACACAGCCUGGAUCUGUCAUUGCUGUGGCUGUGGCGUAGGCUGGCAGCUGCAGCUCCAAUUUGACCUCUAGCCUGGAAACUUCCAUAUGCCGUGGGUGUGGCCCUAAAAAAGACAAUACAUACAUACAUACAAGAAUAGAAGCAAAUGCCUUCACCCUUUCCUUCUUCCUUUUUGCAGUAUUUCUGCCCUCUGUGCUGUUCCAGUGAUUUGUUUAUAGCUGGAGAAAGUGAGUCACUUGGUAAUAUAAACUUUUCCUCCUUUUAAGCAGGAGAAGCCCUACUAAUCCCCAGCUUUUCAAACAUGAAGUUAUUUUAGCUCUCAUUGUUAAAAAUUUAUAGCUCUAGCAACCAGAUUCUGGAUUCCUCUUAUCCUGAGAACUAGGUGUCCUAGGGCAGUGGGGUUGAAGAUGAAAAGUUGGGGUUGGGAGGAAUGUGAUUCUACAUCUUGAGAACAAGAUUCCUUCCGUGUUUUUUGUUUUUUUAAUUUAUAGGAAAACAGAUGAUGGCUCUUUAUGACAGCCCUCAUGGAGCCUGGGGAUAUUAUUUUCUAUAAAUAAACUGGAUGACUGCCAGGGUAAAAGUAAUCUGGGACAUGAUUCUUAGUGUCUACUAUAGUGAACUGUUCUGAAAACUCCAGCUGACACUUGGUAUGAGUUUCAAGAUCGUAAAGGGUAUUUUGACCCUUCAUACAUGGGAAACUGGUACAUUUUCUUCUUCAUCUAGUUUCCACUUAAAAUGAAAAUUACCAGACUCACAGAAUGAGUUAAGAGUCUCCGUAAUCAAAUGCUAAUAAAUAUGCACUGCUGAUUUGCUUAUUGCUUACCACGUGGUGGGUGAGAGGAUAUUUUCUUAGUAAUUUUAAGGAUAAUGGUGAUUCACGACCACUAGUCCAGCAAGGCCAGAUUCUUCCUUAGUUAAAGAUCUAAAUCCUGCUCUCCUCACUUAACUCAGUAAAGUAGGUGUAGCUCUAAGAAGUGUCUGACUGAGGGUAAGAAACCAAACAAUUUGUUAGUGUUUAGAAUUUUGGGCCCGAAGGUGGUUUCAGAGUCUUAUAUCUCUGUUGCGAUGAAUUUCUGUUGAAUAUGAGAACAUCUUAAAUCAGAAUGAAUGACAAGACUUUGACUCCGGGGUAUGGAGUCAUUGAAGGGAGAACAUACUGCAUCUCCCAGGCUGCUCAAAAAUUAAGAAAAAUCAGUCCCCUGCAUCUGCUUUGCAUAUGAUGGGGCAGGACAGUGUAGAGAUUUGGGAACAUGCAAUGAUGCUGAAUAGCUAAUCUGAUAAAUCAACAGAAGACCACAGAGGAGCUCGUUAUAGAAAAUAGAGGAAGAAUAACCGAACUUUGCAAGAAGUAGUUCAUCUGUGGAAUUUCCUUUUAGCUUGAAAGAAAAAUCUUCCCCUCCUUCCUCUGGACAUGCUCCUAUUGUCAAAACUGUUCACUUGGCAGUUGCACUUGUCGCAUCCUGUUUGUAUUGUGAAUGACACAUUCAUGUGCGAGAGUCUAAUAUCUCUGCUGGAUGGGGACUUUUUCAAGGCAAGGGGCUGAGCUUUCCACUCCUUUGUGUCCUUGUAUCUUCCAGCUUUGAACUUCAUAUAUAAUGAUGCAUAAUGCACCAUUCAUUACUAUGAAUUAUGCAUUAUUGUUAUGAAUUAUUCUUAUGAUCCUUAUUAUGACUCGUUAUUCAUACUUGAUGAAAAUUCAGUCAAAGUUAAAAGUACACAUGCAUUCUUUCUCAUGCAUUCAGGUAGAAUCAAGACAAGCUUAUUUGGACUCAAGGCCCAAAGCUCUUGCUUGGCAAUCUUUCUUUAUAGAUGGUUUAUACUCAGGGUAUAGUUGAUUUAAUUCAGUGAGUGUUUACUGAGCUUCUAUCAUGUGAAGGGUUAUAGAAUAUAAAAAAGAAACAAGAUAAUAUCAAAGCAAUCAAUGAGAUUAUAGCCUAAUACAUGAAUGAUGCAUAGAUUUCAACUUAAAUGUCUACCUCAUCAUCAAUUGAUGAUGGUUGCUGGGAUUGCUGACAAGGAUUUUAAAGUCUGGUCUAGAUUCAGUAGGAAAAAAUGCUGUGAUCAGUUUGCAAUGUUUCCCAUUUGUUUAGGAAUGAAUGAUAGUAUGGGCACCACACACUCACAAUCCCCAAUUUGCAGAAUGAAUUCAAAGUCUAGAUAGUAGAAGAAGCUUAUAUUUAGUAGAAUCCAAUCACAAUCAAUCAAUAACUUACAUUUGUUUUGGUAAAAAAAUAAAUACUAAACAAAUAUAUAAAUUAUAUGAACUGAUUAUGUUUUAGUCAAUUUGGACUGUCAUAACAAAAUACCAUAGAUUGGAUGGCUUACACAACAGGAAUUUAUAUACUUAUGGUUUUGAAAGCUAGGCAUGCAAGAUGAAGGUUCUGGCCAAUUCAGUUCCUGUGAGAGCUCUCUCUCUGACCUAUGGAUGGCUAUUUUUUGUACACACAUGACUUCUUUUUUGUGUUCUCUAGGAAGGAGAGUGAUAAAGCCCUGUGGGGUCAGGGGCCCAGCUUUAUGACCUCAUUUAACCUUAAUUACUUCCUUAGAGGCCCCACCUUCAAUACAGCCACAUGGUGGGGUGGGGGAGGAUAGGGCUUCAACAUAUGCAUUUUGGGAGCAUAUAUUUGGUCCUUAACAAUAUGAGAUA